rnacentral:rRNA from 1 species
UCGAGCGGUAAGGCCCUUCGGGGUACACGAGCGGCGAACGGGUGAGUAACACGUGGGUGAUCUGCCUCGCACUCUGGGAUAAGCCUGGGAAACUGGGUCUAAUACCGGAUAUGACCUUACAUCGCAUGGUGUUUGGUGGAAAGAUUUAUCGGUGCGAGAUGGGCCCGCGGCCUAUCAGCUUGUUGGUGGGGUAAUGGCCUACCAAGGCGACGACGGGUAGCCGGCCUGAGAGGGCGACCGGCCACACUGGGACUGAGACACGGCCCAGACUCCUACGGGAGGCAGCAGUGGGGAAUAUUGCACAAUGGGCGAAAGCCUGAUGCAGCGACGCCGCGUGAGGGAUGACGGCCUUCGGGUUGUAAACCUCUUUCGACAGGGACGAAGCGCAAGUGACGGUACCUGUAGAAGAAGCACCGGCCAACUACGUGCCAGCAGCCGCGGUAAUACGUAGGGUGCGAGCGUUGUCCGGAAUUACUGGGCGUAAAGAGCUUGUAGGCGGCUUGUCGCGUCGAUCGUGAAAACUUGGGGCUCAACCCCAAGCUUGCGGUCGAUACGGGCAGGCUUGAGUACUUCAGGGGAGACUGGAAUUCCUGGUGUAGCGGUGAAAUGCGCAGAUAUCAGGAGGAACACCGGUGGCGAAGGCGGGUCUCUGGGAAGUAACUGACGCUGAGAAGCGAAAGCGUGGGUAGCGAACAGGAUUAGAUACCCUGGUAGUCCACGCCGUAAACGGUGGGUACUAGGUGUGGGUUUCCUUCCACGGGAUCCGUG